CUCGAGUGGCGAACGGGUGAGUAACACGUGGGUGAUCUGCCCUGCACUUCGGGAUAAGCUUGGGAAACUGGGUCUAAUACCGGAUAGGAGCCAUCUUUAGUGUGGUGGUUGGAAAGUUUUUUCGGUGUAGGAUGAGCUCGCGGCCUAUCAGCUUGUUGGUGGGGUAAUGGCCUACCAAGGCGGCGACGGGUAGCCGGCCUGAGAGGGUGUACGGCCACAUUGGGACUGAGAUACGGCCCAG
rnacentral:rRNA from 1 species